ACCCGCUGAACUUAAGCAUAUCAAUAAGCGGAGGAAAAGAAACCAACAGGGAUUGCCCUAGUAACGGCGAGUGAAGCGGCAACAGCUCAAAUUUGAAAUCUGGCGUCUUUGGCGUCCGAGUUGUAAUUUGCAGAGGGCGCUUUGGCAUUGGCAGCGGCCCAAGUUCCUUGGAACAGGACGUCACAGAGGGUGAGAAUCCCGUACGUGGUCGCUAGCCUUUACCGUGUAAAGCCCCUUCGACGAGUCGAGUUGUUUGGGAAUGCAGCUCUAAAUGGGAGGUAAAUUUCUUCUAAAGCUAAAUAUUGGCCAGAGACCGAUAGCGCACAAGUAGAGUGAUCGAAAGAUGAAAAGCACUUUGGAAAGAGAGUUAAAAAGCACGUGAAAUUGUUGAAAGGGAAGCGCUUGCAGCCAGACUUGCCUGUAGUUGCUCAUCCGGGUUUCUACCCGGUGCACUCUUCUAUAGGCAGGCCAGCAUCAGUUUGGGCGGUUGGAUAAAGGUCUCUGUCAUGUACCUCUCUUCGGGGAGAACUUAUAGGGGAGACGACAUGCAACCAGCCUGGACUGAGGUCCGCGCAUCUGCUAGGAUGCUGGCGUAAUGGCUGU
rnacentral:rRNA from 1 species